rnacentral:rRNA from 1 species
AGGGGAAUAUUGCACAAUGGGCGCAAGCCUGAUGCAGCCAUGCCGCGUGUAUGAAGAAGGCCUUCGGGUUGUAAAGUACUUUCAGCGGGGAGGAAGGGAGUAAAGUUAAUACCUUUGCUCAUUGACGUUACCCGCAGAAGAAGCACCGGCUAACUCCGUGCCAGCAGCCGCGGUAAUACGGAGGGUGCAAGCGUUAAUCGGAAUUACUGGGCGUACAGCGCACGCAGGCGGUUUGUUAAGUCAGAUGUGAAAUCCCCGGGCUCAACCUGGGAACUGCAUCUGAUACUGGCAAGCUUGAGUCUCGUAGAGGGGGGUAGCAUUCCAGGUGUAGCUGUGAAAUGCGUAGAUAUCUGGAGGAAUACCGGUGGCGAAGGCGGCCCCCUGGACGAAGACUGACGCUCAGGUGCGAAAGCGUGGGGAGCAAACAGG